rnacentral:rRNA from 1 species
UACAGAGGUGGCAAGCGUUGUUCGGAAUUACUGGGCGUAAAGGGCGCGUAGGCGGCCUUCUAAGUCAGACGUGAAAUCCCCCGGCUUAACCUGGGAACUGCGUCUGAUACUGGGAGGCUCGAGUAUGGGAGAGGGAUGUAGAAUUCCAGGUGUAGCGGUGAAAUGCGUAGAUAUCAGGAGGAACACCAGUGGCGAAGGCGGCUUCCUGGACACCAACUGACGCUGAGACGCGAAAGCGUGGGGAGCAAACAGG